rnacentral:misc_RNA from 1 species
GAUGAAGAACGUAGUGAAAUGCGAUAAGUAAUGUGAAUUGCAGAAUUCAGUGAAUCAUCGAAUCUUUGAACGCACAUUGCGCCCCUUGGUAUCCCGAGGGGCAUGCCUGUUCGAGCGUCAUUUCACCACUCAAGCCUGGCUUGGUGUUGGGCGACGUCCUCUUUGGGGACGCGCCUCGAAACGCUCGGCGGCGUGGCACCGGCUUUAAGCGUAGCAGAAUCUUUCGCUUUGGAAGUCGGGGCCCCGUCUGCCGGAAGACCUGCUCGCAAGGUUGACCUCGGAUCUGGCAGGGAUACCCGCUGAACUUAAGCAUAUCAAUAAGCGGAGGA